ACGGGUGAGUAACGCGUAGGUAACCUGCCUGGUAGCGGGGGAUAACUAUUGGAAACGAUAGCUAAUACCGCAUAACAGUAGAUGUUGCAUGACAUUUGCUUAAAAGGUGCAAUUGCAUCACUACCAGAUGGACCUGCGUUGUAUUAGCUAGUUGGUGGGGUAACAGCUCACCAAGGCGACGAUACAUAGCCGACCUGAGAGGGUGAUCGGCCACACUGGGACUGAGACACGGCCCAGACUCCUACGGGAGGCAGCAGUAGGGAAUCUUCGGCAAUGGACGGAAGUCUGACCGAGCAACGCCGCGUGAGUGAAGAAGGUUUUCGGAUCGUAAAGCUCUGUUGUAAGAGAAGAACGAGUGUGAGAGUGGAAAGUUCACACUGUGACGGUAUCUUACCAGAAAGGGACGGCUAACUACGUGCCAGCAGCCGCGGUAAUACGUAGGUCCCGAGCGUUGUCCGGAUUUAUUGGGCGUAAAGCGAGCGCAGGCGGUUAGAUAAGUCUGAAGUUAAAGGCUGUGGCUUAACCAUAGUACGCUUUGGAAACUGUUUAACUUGAGUGCAAGAGGGGAGAGUGGAAUUCCAUGUGUAGCGGUGAAAUGCGUAGAUAUAUGGAGGAACACCGGUGGCGAAAGCGGCUCUCUGGCUUGUAACUGACGCU
rnacentral:rRNA from 1 species